rnacentral:rRNA from 1 species
AGAGUUUGAUCAUGGCUCAGGACGAACGCUGGCGGCGUGCCUAACACAUGCAAGUGGAGCGACGAACCGGGCUUCGGCCCGGGGCAAAGCCGCGAACGGGUGAGUAACACGUGGGUAACCUGCCCUGAUGAUCGGGACAACCCGAGGAAACUCGGGCUAAUACCGAAUGUGCCCUCCGGCCGUAAGGCCUCUGGGGAAAGGAAGCUUCGGCCUCCGCAUCGGGAUGGGCCCGCGGCCCAUUAGCUUGUUGGUGAGGUAACGGCUCACCAAGGCAACGAUGGGUAGCUGGUCUGAGAGGACGAUCAGCCACACUGGGACUGAGACACGGCCCAGACUCCUACGGGAGGCAGCAGUGGGGAAUCUUGCGCAAUGCGCGAAAGCGUGACGCAGCAACGCCGCGUGGGGGAAGAAGGCCUUCGGGUUGUAAACCCCUUUCAGUUGGGACGAAGCUUCGGCGGUGAAUAGCCGUUUGGAGUGACGGUACCUUCAGAAGAAGCCCCGGCUAACUACGUGCCAGCAGCCGCGGUAAUACGUAGGGGGCAAGCGUUGUCCGGAAUCAUUGGGCGUAAAGAGCGUGUAGGCGGCUUGGUAAGUCCGCUGUGAAAGUCCAGGGCUCAACCCUGGAAUGCCGGUGGAAACUGUCAAGCUUGAGUCCGGAAGAGGCGAGUGGAAUUCCUGGUGUAGCGGUGAAAUGCGCAGAUAUCAGGAGGAACACCAAUGGCGAAGGCAGCUCGCUGGGACGGUACUGACGCUGAGACGCGAAAGCGUGGGGAGCAAACAGGAUUAGAUACCCUCGUAGUCC